rnacentral:rRNA from 1 species
AAAAACAUUGCCUAUAGAAACAACUAUCAUAGGUAACUCUGCCCAGUGAAAAUUUUUAACGGCCGCGGUACUCUGACCGUGCGAAGGUAGCACAAUAAUGAGCCUCCUAAUUAGAGGAUAGAAUGAAUGAACCAACAAGAUGUUUUCUGUCUCUUUAACACAACUCAAAAUUUAUUUUUAGGUGAAAAAGCCUAAAUUCCUUCCAAAGACAAAAAGACCCUAAAAGCUUUUUAUUCAACUUUUCACCUAAAAACCAAUAUUUAGUUGGGGCGACUCUCAGAUUUAUACACUUCUUAAAAUAUGGAGCAAUCACUCUCUCCACACGUAGCCACCCGCACACAAGUAAGCUACUUUAGGGAUAACAGGCUAGUACUUCCUAAGAGUACGCAUCAACGGAAGUGUUCGGCACCUCGAUGUUGGCUUAGGGAACCUAAUUCAUGCAAAAGUAAAUUUAGGAGGUUUGUUCAACCAUUAAUACCCUACAUGAUCUGA